AAGAUUUCACAGAGCCGGAAACAAUCCUAACCCAUUUGCCUACAAUUCAAAUUAUUUCACUAAAGUUUAAGCCGCCUCAUGCUAUAUCCUGCAUUUGAUUGGUUUGACUACUUCAUCUCUCACCACAAGAUGAAUGUUUCGUUUUUAUCCUCCAAAAUCUGUAUGGCACUCUCUUCUCCUUUCCUCUGCCCUACACCUGAUCUGACUUCUUGCCAUGCCUUCUCACAAGGCUUUGAGAAUCAAGCGAUCCCUGGCCAAGAAACAAAAGCAAAAUCGUCCUACUCCUCAAUGAAUUCGGAUGAAAACUGGGAACAAAAUCAGGUAAAACCCAAAGAGAAGACACUGGAGGAGAACGAAGCUGGGUCUGUAAUAGUUCACAGAAUGGCAGGACUGGGGGUUUAUCCUGAAUCAUGGUCAUUGCUCAAUCCUACCAGACAGAGUUUAACAUUUUAACCUGGAGACUUGCUCGUGCCUAAAUUGGGGGUGUGGUUUGUCCAGCAAUAAAAUGUAUGUAACCUUUAAAAAAAA
rnacentral:lncRNA from 1 species